rnacentral:rRNA from 1 species
CCUACGGGAGGCAGCAGUGGGGAAUAUUGCACAAUGGGGGGAACCCUGAUGCAGCGACGCCGCGUGAGUGAAGAAGUAUUUCGGUAUGUAAAGCUCUAUCAGCAGGGAAGAAGAUGACGGUACCUGACUAAGAAGCCCCGGCUAACUACGUGCCAGCAGCCGCGGUAAUACGUAGGGGGCAAGCGUUAUCCGGAUUUACUGGGUGUAAAGGGAGCGUAGACGGCAGGGCAAGUCUGAAGUGAAAGCCCGGGGCCCAACCCCGGGACUGCUUUGGAAACUGCAAUGCUAGAGUGCUGGAGAGGUAAGCGGAAUGCCUAGUGUAGCGGUGAAAUGCGUAGAUAUUAGGAGGAACAUCAGUGGCGAAGGCGACUAUCUGGCACAUAACUGACGCUGAGGAGCGAAAGCGUGGGUAGCAAACAGGAUUAGAUACCCCAGUAGUC